AGCCACGGCUAACUACGUGCCAGCAGCCGCGGUAAUACGUAGGUGGCAAGCGUUAUCCGGAAUUAUUGGGCGUAAAGCGCGCGCAGGCGGUUUCUUAAGUCUGAUGUGAAAGCCCACGGCUCAACCGUGGAGGGUCAUUGGAAACUGGGGAACUUGAGUGCAGAAGAGAAAAGCGGAAUUCCACGUGUAGCGGUGAAAUGCGUAGAGAUGUGGAGGAACACCAGUGGCGAAGGCGGCUUUUUGGUCUGUAACUGACGCUGAGGCGCGAAAGCGUGGG
rnacentral:rRNA from 1 species